rnacentral:rRNA from 1 species
UACGUAGGGCGCAAGCGUUGUCCGGAAUUAUUGGGCGUAAAGAGCUCGUAGGCGGCUUGUCACGUCGAUUGUGAAAGCCCGAGGCUUAACCUCGGGUCUGCAGUCGAUACGGGCAAGCUAGAAUUCGGUAGGGGAGACUGGAAUUCCUGGUGUAGCGGUGAAAUGCGCAGAUAUCAGGAGGAACACCGGUGGCGAAGGCGGGUCUCUGGGCCGAUAUUGACGCUGAGGAGCGAAAGCGUGGGGAGCGAACAGG